CUAGAGUUCAGUCUUGCCCAUAACUAGAGUGCUAGGACUCAACAGAGAGACAUCUCAUGUAUAAACUUAUGGACAUAUCAAAAUAGAACAUGUGUAUUCUUCAUGGACUUCCAGUUUCAACAAUUGCUGUUGAUUUGGAGAAUAGAUUUUCACUGAAAGGUUAGUGAUAUUUGGUCCCAUCCUCUCUUAUGAUGCUGGCAGCAAGCUGCAGCUCCAAGUCAGUCACAGGAUCAUGAGGGAGAUGAUGGAUCUUAACUAAACUUACUGGGCUUGUCUCAUCACAAUAUGGAGACAAGUGAAUAGCUUACGAAGCUAAAUUUAGCUGGCCCAAGAGCACAAGAAUCAAUAAAGAAACUGCAGAGUGAAUAAAUCUCUUUCUUCUUGAAAGGAUCCAUGAUAUGAAUUCACAUGAUCCUAUCUAAAUUAAGCCUGACUUUUGCUCACUGAGAGAUUGUGUUUUACUUGGAGGUCUGCAAAUAUAAGAUUAUAACUCUAAUCACAGUGUCAUGCUUAUGUGAUGUAACCACAGCUCAAACCAUCAGCAGAAAGCUCUGAGAGUCCAAGAUUUUCAAUCACAAGAGUAAAAUCAAGCUGAUUAAAUAUCAUAAAUUACAGCCAUGAAACACAUAGACAAGGUAAAGCCCUUACUUCUCAUCAGAUAAAGCAGGAUCUACCUUGCUCAGAGCCUGUGAGGGCCAAGAAGACAAUCCCUAUAACAAGGCAUUUGGUACUACACUUGAGAGAGAAGCUCCUCAAAGUGUCUUCUUCCUGGGUGUCUUUGGAUAAUGGAGAAAACAUAUACCAUAUUUGGAUGAGUCAUGCCUUCCUAUUUGUCAACUAUGCAUAAUACCACCCCUUUUGACUGUGACCCAGAGCAAGAGAAGGCUGUUCUAUUAAUCCAGCUCGCACUACAAAAUAGCUCUUAUUUGGGCUACAUGACUGAAUAAAUCCAAUUGUGC